rnacentral:rRNA from 1 species
AGCUCCAAUAGCGUAUAUUAAUGUUGUUGCAGUUAAAAAGCUCGUAGUUGGAUUUCUGAUUGAGAACGACCGGUUUUUAUUUAUUUAAUUACUGUGUGUUGUUUUUGAUCAUCCUUAGAGGGAAAAUAGUUGGCAUUGAUUUGUCGAUUAUGGGAUCUCUAUCGUUUACUGUGAAAAAAUUAGAGUGUUUAAAGCAGGCAUUUGCCUUGAAUACAUUAGCAUGGAAUAAUAAGAUAGGACUUUGGUACUAUUUUGUUGGUUUGCAUACCAAAGUAAUGAUUAAUAGGGACAGUUUUGGGGGUAUUCGUAUUUAAUUGUCAGAGGUGAAAUUCUUGGAUUUAUGAAAGACGAACUACUGCGAAAGCAUUUACCAAGGAUGUUUUCAUUAAUCAAGAACGAA